AUUUUGGUAGCUUAAAUAAUAGAGUAUUAUACUGAAGAUAUAAUGGUAACUUAUGUUUCAAAAUA
rnacentral:tRNA from 1 species